ACGAAGGGUGCUAGCGUUGUUCGGAAUUACUGGGCGUAAAGCGCGCGUAGGCGGCUUUUCAAGUCAGGGGUGAAAUCCCACAGCUUAACUGUGGAACUGCCUUUGAAACUGUAAAGCUUGAGUGUCGGAGGGGAUAGCGGAAUUGCUAAUGUAGAGGUGAAAUUCGUAGAUAUUAGCAGGAACACCGGUGGCGAAGGCGGCUAUCUGGACGACAACUGACGCUGAGGCGCGAAAGCGCGGGGAUCAAACAGGA
rnacentral:rRNA from 1 species